AUUGAACGCUGGCGGCAGGCCUAACACAUGCAAGUCGAACGGUAACAGGAAGAAGCUUGCUUCUUUGCUGACGAGUGGCGGACGGGUGAGUAAUGUCUGGGAAACUGCCUGAUGGAGGGGGAUAACUACUGGAAACGGUAGCUAAUACCGCAUAACGUCGCAAGACCAAAGAGGGGGAACUUCGGGCCUCUUGCCAUCGGAUGUGCCCAGAUGGGAUUAGCUUGUUGGUGGGGUAACGGCUCACCAAGGCGACGAUCCCUAGCUGGUCUGAGAGGAUGACCAGCCACACUGGAACUGAGACACGGUCCAGACUCCUACGGGAGGCAGCAGUGGGGAAUAUUGCACAAUGGGCGCAAGCCUGAUGCAGCCAUGCCGCGUGUAUGAAGAAGGCCUUCGGGUUGUAAAGUACUUUCAGCGGGGAGGAAGGGAGUAAAGUUAAUACCUUGGCUCAUUGACGUUACCCGCAGAAGAAGCACCGGCUAACUCCGUG
rnacentral:rRNA from 1 species